rnacentral:rRNA from 1 species
UACGGGGGGAGCAAGCGUUGUUCGGAUUUACUGGGCGUAAAGGGCGCGUAGGCGGCCAGCACAAGUCAGUUGUGAAAUCUCCGAGCUUAACUCGGAAAGGUCAACUGAUACUGUGCGGCUAGAGUGCGGAAGGGGCAACUGGAAUUCUUGGUGUAGCGGUGAAAUGCGUAGAUAUCAGGAGGAACACCUGCGGUGUAGACGGCUUACUGGACCAUAACUGACGCUGAGGCACGAAAGCGUGGGGAGCAAACAGG